AGCGAACGCUGGCGGUAGGCCUAACACAUGCAAGUCGAACGGCAGCACAGUAAGAGCUUGCUCUUACGGGUGGCGAGUGGCGGACGAGUGAGGAAUACAUCGGAAUCUACUUUUUCGUGGGGGAUAACGUAGGGAAACUUACGCUAAUACCGCAUACGACCUACGGGUGAAAGCAGGGGAUCUUCGGACCUUGCGCGAUUGAAUGAGCCGAUGUCGGAUUAGCUAGUUGGCGGGGUAAAGGCCCACCAAGGCGACGAUCCGUAGCUGGUCUGAGAGGAUGAUCAGCCACACUGGAACUGAGACACGGUCCGGACUCCUACGGGAGGCAGCAGUGGGGAAUAUUGGACAAUGGGCGCAAGCCUGAUCCAGCCAUACCGCGUGGGUGAAGAAGGCCUUCGGGUUGUAAAGCCCUUUUGUUGGGAAAGAAAAGCAGCAGGUUAAUACCCCGCUGUUCUGACGGUACCCAAAGAAUAAGCACCGGCUAACUUCGUG
rnacentral:rRNA from 1 species